ensembl:miRNA mdo-mir-7383-2 mdo-mir-7383-1
CAAGGUACCUGAGGUCCUCUUAUUUUAUAUUGACUGUAAGAGGCUCCAGCUCCCUUUGU